rnacentral:rRNA from 1 species
GAUGAGCGCUGGCGGCGUGCCUAAUACAUGCAAGUCGAGCGAACGGACGAGAAGCUUGCUUCUCUGAUGUUAGCGGCGGACGGGUGAGUAACACGUGGAUAACCUACCUAUAAGACUGGGAUAACUUCGGGAAACCGGAGCUAAUACCGGAUGAUAUUUUGAACCGCAUGGUUCAAAAGUGAAAGACGGUCUUGCUGUCACUUAUAGAUGGAUCCGCGCUGCAUUAGCUAGUUGGUAAGGUAACGGCUUACCAAGGCAACGAUGCAUAGCCGACCUGAGAGGGUGAUCGGCCACACUGGAACUGAGACACGGUCCAGACUCCUACGGGAGGCAGCAGUAGGGAAUCUUCCGCAAUGGGCGAAAGCCUGACGGAGCAACGCCGCGUGAGUGAUGAAGGUCUUCGGAUCGUAAAACUCUGUUAUUAGGGAAGAACAUAUGUGUAAGUAACUGUGCACAUCUUGACGGUACCUAAUCAGAAAGCCCCGGCUAACUACGUG